rnacentral:rRNA from 1 species
UACGUAGGGUGCGAGCGUUAAUCGGAAUUACUGGGCGUAAAGAGCUCGUAGGCGGUCUGUCGCGUCUGCUGUGAAAACUCAGGGCUUAACCCUGAGCUUGCAGUGGGUACGGGCAGACUAGAGUGCGGUAGGGGAGACUGGAAUUCCUGGUGUAGCGGUGAAAUGCGCAGAUAUCAGGAGGAACACCGGUGGCGAAGGCGGGUCUCUGGGCCGUAACUGACGCUGAGGAGCGAAAGCAUGGGGAGCGAACAGG